rnacentral:misc_RNA from 1 species
GCUCCAUACUGCAGAAAAUCAAAGUACCGGAGCCUAUGGAGACCUCGUGAUGACUGUGAUACUGUAACAUUCUCAAAUAGAUACCAAAUAAAUUUGUCAUUUUAGUUUUUGACUUUCUCAUGCUUUUUAAAAUACACAUGUAUAUAAUUUAUAAUGGUAUUUUGGAUAUUUCUCUCCUUGAGAGCUGAAAUACAUGUACAUAUCAUACGUACAUGUACGAUAUUGAAAUUUUGAUAAAAUAAAUUUAUGGUCCAGUAUCUCGCAUGAAGAUAAUAGUGGUAGCAAAAUAGGGAUGGUCAGCAAAUGAUACCAUAUCUGCUCCAUACCAUUGAGAGUGUAGCAACCCCGGUACAUUGUAAGAUAGGUUUGCUCAAUAUUUUCACCUAAUAGCUUAACUCAUGACCAAGGGUUACACUAAUCAUUACUACCAUUAUGUAAUUUUAGGAUUUUUCUGUUUACACAGGGGCUAAGUUGCAAGUUGUGCAAUGGGAUAUAGCAUCGUUAACCAUGUGUAUGUAGUACAUGUUUCUGUAAAAAAAAAAAAAAAAAAAAAUUAUCGGUAGGCCAGAUAUGUAGAAGACUUUGGAAACUUAAAAUUGGCACAUUUUCAUUUUCAAUUAUUGAAUUAUUUCCCAAGAAAUCUGAUAUGAUAGAGUCUACAGGUACAUCUCAAAUUUUAUGUAUGGGUGAACAAAAACAAAAUGUUCACACAAAUUUAUUAAAUGGAACAAAAUAAUAAAGGCAUAACAUUCAGGUUAAUAUACUGUAUUCAAAAUUUAUUGGAUCUAUUUUUCAUUAUUCACAUUCAUAUUCUAUAUUUUUGUUCAAGCAGUUUCAGGAAACAAUAAAAUUAAAGAACACAACC